AGAGACUAGGAUGCUGAUUGGCCACAGAUGGGUCAUGUCUCCACUUUGCGCGUGAGUUGACUUAUUUCUGAGUGUGUGUGUGCGCGCACGGGUUCUAGUGCACGUGCACAUACAUAGGUAUGUGUACAGAAGCCAGACGUUAACAUCAGGUAUCUUCCUCGAUUGAUCCCUACCUUAAUUUUCCGAUGGUAUCUCACACCGAACCCGGAGCUCACAACUAAAGGUCCUUGUUUGGAGGGCGUGGACGCAGAGGGGAGAAAGGAGGAUUUCCCCGACUGGAGAAGAAUGAUGGGGCCCAGGGGCUGCAGGUGAGGAAGCCAACCAGCCACGUGAGAAUUCAGGUAGCAGAGGAAAAAGGAUCGAGGGGGAAGUGAUAGAUGCUAUCUUCAGACUACUUCCUGCUAAUUAGAGCAUUCAAGAUCCUUGGGACAAGUUUUAUCUUGGAAGUCAAGAUAUCUGAUUUAUUUAUUUUUUCUCCUUUGCACAUGACUACUUAACCAUGACCUACAGCAACCAACCGACACACAAAACAAUCCACCACCAGUUUGGGGGCCCUAGCAUGUUUAUACUCUCUGAAAAGUUCCCGGAAGUCCAAAUGUCACCCAGUCGCAGAAACUAUCUGCAGCUGUCAAAAAUCACACCUCCGAUAGAGCACGAGGCAAAUCAUCGUCAUGGGGUGGACAAUCCGAAGCAGCCCCAUUUCCCACCCCUGGGACUAAAAUGAAAACAUAUUCCCAUAA